AUUAAUGUCUCAUGAAUUUCCUAUUUAUAUUCGUUUGCCCUCAUUCUCUAUGAUGUCUCUACAUGAGAGACUCUUUAUGUGUAUACAGAGAUCGCAUCUCGCCCCUAAAUAAGAUGGCGACCAAAGACUUACAUAUGUAUGAACUAAUAGAAAUGCGACCACUCUAGAUGAUGACACAAGCGGAAAUGACGUUACGCGACACAGCCGCCGACCAUCCGCAAUUAAGGAAGUCUUCUAUUAAGUGUGAACUGAAGAUAUAAAAGGAAAACCGGAACACAGAUGAUGUUACCGAUUGAAAAAGCCGCUGGGCAAAACGCGUCUCGGAGGAUCAACAGGAU